AGAGUUUGAUUCUGGCUCAGGAUGAACGCUGGCGGCGUGCCUAAUACAUGCAAGUCGAACGAGGUAGCAAUACCGAGUGGCGAACGGGUGAGUAACACGUAGGUAACCUGCCCUUAAGCUUGGGAUACCCAGAGGAAACUUUGGCUAAUACCGGAUAACAACAGAGAAGGCAUCUUCUUUGCUUGAAAGGCCCCUUCAAGGGUCACUUAAGGAUGGACCUGCGGCGCAUUAGCUAGUUGGUGAGAUAACAGCCCACCAAGGCGAGGAUGCGUAGCCGAACUGAGAGGUUGAUCGGCCACAUUGGAACUGAGACACGGUCCAAACUCCUACGGGAGGCAGCAGUAAGGAGUUUUCGGCAAUGGGGGAAACCCUGACCGAGCAACGCCGCGUGAGCGAUGACGGUCCUUUGGAAUUGUAAAGCUCUGUUGUAAGCCAUGAAUGACAGCUUGAGGAAAUGCAAGUUGUUUGACGACAGCUUACCAGAAAGCCACGGCUAACUACGUGCCAGCCGCCGC
rnacentral:rRNA from 1 species